rnacentral:rRNA from 1 species
AACGAACGCUGGCGGCGCGCCUAAUACAUGCAAGUCGAGCGAGAAGGUGUAGCAAUACACUUGUAAAGCGGCGAACGGGUGAGGAAUACAUGGGUAACCUACCCUCGAGUGGGGAAUAACUAGCCGAAAGGUUAGCUAAUACCGCGUACGCUUCCGGGACUGCGGUUCCGGAAGGAAAGCGAUACUGUGAGUAUCGCGCUCUUGGAUGGGCUCAUGUCCUAUCAGCUUGUUGGUGAGGUAACGGCUCACCAAGGCUUCGACGGGUAGCUGGUCUGAGAGGACGAUCAGCCACACUGGCACUGCGACACGGGCCAGACUCCUACGGGAGGCAGCAGUAAGGAAUAUUGCGCAAUGGACGACAGUCUGACGCAGCGACGCCGC